GAGCUGAUCAAAUGGCUGGAGCCGCUGGAAAAGCUUCGCUUUGAGAUCGGCAGCAUUCCUUCUCUUAUCGCUUACAUAAAACAGAAUUUGGAAAACAUAUUAAAUGCUGAAGGAAGUGGACUGGUGACAGCUCUGAGGGUCCUCUGCCACAUUGCUUGUCCUCCUCCUCCUGUGGAAGGUCAGCAGAAGGAUCUCAAAUGGAGCCUCGCGGGUGUUCAGCUGUUCUCCGGAGAGGGCCUGGAUACCUGUGUCCGUGUCUUGCAGAAACUUUGCAGCGUGCUACUGCAGCCGUGGCGCUUGCACGGUCACAUGGGCCCCACGCCGCAGCGCUGCAUGAU